CUUGGACUCAAAGAAUAGCAGACCAACAGCAGCAAUCAGCACCACCUGGGAGCUGUUAGAAAUUCAGCAUCUCAGGCUCCAUCCCAGAUUUACUGACUCUGAAUCUGCAUUUUAACAGGACACCAGGUCAUCCGCAUGCACGUGGAAGCUUCAGAAACACAGAGUUAAACUUCGCGUAGUGGAACGGCGAGUGGUGUUCUUCUGGGUUGCCUUUGCUAGUUUGCAUGUUUUCCAACUGUCCAUGACGUCUCCACAUCAAACGCCCUCCUGAAUAGUGGCUCUCAGCUGAAUAAUUGGUCGUCUAAUGCCUAAGUUGUUAAACAAAACAAACUUUGAAAGUCAGCUUUUUUUUUUUACAAGCCUUAGCUCACAGUGGCCUUUUGCUUCCUGCUGUUUUUCUUACGUAUCCGGGCUGUUCUGUUCUGUUUCUGCGUGGCCUUUGCCUUGUAUCCACCAUUGGUAUAGCGUGGUGAUAUGCUUUCUUUCUUUGAAUUUGCUUUAAUUUUUAAUAUUAUAUAUAUGGUACCUGAGAUAUUUUGAUACAAGGAUACAAUGUGUAAUAACCACAUCAAGGUAAAUGGGGUUCCAUCACCUCAAGAAUUUAUCCUUUCUUUGUG
rnacentral:lncRNA from 1 species